GGGGCAGUAGCUCAACUCGGGAGAGCGCCCGGUUCGCAUCCGGGAGGUUGUGGGUUCAAGUCCCAUCUGUCUCCACCA
rnacentral:tRNA from 1 species